CUUUUUCUGAUUCUCCUAGACGACAGAUUGCCAUUCACGCAAUAGAAGUGGCAGGGGUUAGCUUGGACCGAUGAGGAAAACAAUAGGAUCCAAUGUAAGUUUUCAGUUUCAUCAUGUGCUAAAAUGAUUUACAUUUCUAGGAUCUUGUGUGGUGCUGAUGGUGGCACAUGUGCUUCUGCAGAUCUGCUGAAGGAGAUAGAUGACUUCCUGGUCCUCGGCAUCACACCUUCAGUGGACACCGAGGUGAGUCAGGUGAGAGAUGGAUGGCCUAUUUAGUAUUAUGUGUUACAUUUGUUGGAUUUUAUGCUGCUACUGUAAUUCAAGAUGUCUGGCAUGGCACAAUUGCAAACUAAGAAGUAUGGUGUGUCAUAUUGGCAUCUGUCAGCUUCUUGUUUCUUAUAGACUACAUACGUGCCCAUGUAUUGCAACGUCAAAAGUUUUCAUGAUGUUUGAUGAACUGUUUGAAGAGGCUAGAAGAAAGAUAAAUCAUGUGAAAUACUUCUGAAGAAACUAUGCUUCAUCAUUGAAUCAGCACAGUGCAGCAGGAUGGCCAGUGAAGAGGGUGGUCUGAAGAUGUCCAAAGAUGCUUGCUAAACAUGCCUUUUCAAAAUAUAAAAUACCUCAAACAAAGAUCAUCCAUCUCAUAUAAUAUAAUGUGUGAGCUAAUUACUUGUGAAUAAAACUAUGCUUGAUAAUUGAAUCAGUAAAGUGCAGUAGCACACUAAAAGAAUGUAUGCUUUUCUAAAAAUCUUUCAUGCUCAUUGAAAACAUAUGUUAAUUGUUUAUUAGUAGUAGAGAAUCAGAAAUUUUAAAAUAUGGUGACAACUUCAUACAGUCUUGUGUUGUGUCCGAGAGGCAGGCAGCUACAGCAGGAGCAUGGGGACGAGGACAUUCUACUGGAGUACAUGAGACAUGGAAAGCUGCUUUGGUAAGUAGUUUCAGCAAUGUACAUACUACAUAUUUAAGGUCUUCUAAGUCUCAAGCUUACAUACUCCCUCAAUGUAAUUAAAAUUUGUUCAUUUGUUUGGUAACUUAACUUUAUGUUUUCAGUUACACUUACUAAUCAUGAGAUUUGCCUUGCAUAUGGCAUCUUCAGAACAAUCUGAGGAUCACACGCCACAAAGAUCUGACCAACACCACUAGCCUAUGCAAACUUGAUAAACUACUGUUUACGUCUACUUUAUUUUCAUGGAUGUCAUUCGACCUUAAAAAUGCUGGCCUCAAUUUCUUCAGAACUUUUGUAGGUUCUCCGUUCCGACUUGAUGAUUUUUACCUUCUUAAGAAGCUUCUUAGUUUUUUUAGAAAUAAUUCUGGCCUCUGCGACCGCAUACAGCCAAGUAUUAUAAUGUUCUUAGCUUAUUUGCUGCCAAAGAUAAAGAGAAAUAGUGUACUCAAAUAGGAGAAAAUCAUCAGCAAAGAAGCUACUUAGUUGCUUGCAAGAGUUUGAAUUCUUGUCUUUUUUGACAAGUUUUUGACGAGCUUAAAGCAAAAAAUGACAUGGAUUCAGAUUACCAUGGUUUAGUCUUGCAAUUUUCUGCUUCUUGUGUCACAUCUUUUUGAUGUGAUUUGGCGUGGUGGAUUUCCUCGGCUGGUUUGGCCAAGGUUUAUUCUUACUGCAAAAGCCAUGAGACUGUCUUUCUCCAGGUUGUAAGUUUCUUAAGUAUCAUACUUAAACAAAAGUUACUAUGUGGACUUAAUAAACAGGUUUGUCGGUCCGAAAAGACAAGUUUGUCAUUGGCACAACCCUUUACCAAUCAUGUGUUUAUUUCCGUAUAACUUGGAUGGCUUCGUCAAUUGAACGCAUCUGCUAUGUCAGCCUCUGUUUCCCUUCUAGAGGACGAGGUGAUGGUUCUUCUCAUUUACAGUUAAUGUAUUUUACCUGUUUAUAGAUUCCUAUAAAAAUACUUUUGCACCUUCCUAUUUGUUUAGGUUUUAAGAUUAAAAAUUGGCAUAGAAACUUAGACACCUGCAGACCAUGGAAACCGUGUUUUUAAUCUCUGUGUUUUUGUUCUCAACAACAGCUAAUGUUUGCAUAAUUCAUAUGCUUCUAAGUAGUCUGUUGUGGCCAUUGCCCAUAGGAGCAGAGGUGGCAUCGGCGCCAUGACCCUUGCCUGAAACUUUUAAGUUUGUAAAUUUUUGGCCAUGUAAAUCUGAGUAUAUAUGAACUUCUACUUUUUGUUUGAACUGAUAGUACUGUCUGGGUUUAUAAGUGGUACACUAUGUUUUUUGGAAAUCGAAGGUUGAUUUUUAUAAAUUACAUUGUUCAGUCCCAUGAAACUUUUACUCUCCUAUGGUGCUUGCCAUUUUGCAGUGGAACACUAAAUGUUGUUGACAUGCUCACCCAUCAGGGCCUCACUCCCUGAUUCAAUUAGACAAGACAUAGAGCACCCACAACUCAUUGUUUUUCUUUUUGUUAUUUUGAUGGGAUUUCUUUAGCUAUUUGUGUUUAGGUUUUUAUACGGCACUGUUACUUGUCAUCAACAAAACCUGAAUUGUAGGCGGUAUCGUUUCCGGUCUAGCAAGAGCCCAUAAACAUCAUGAUAAUUUUAAUAUGACAGGGUUUCUUAGGAGCAACAUUAAAUGAUUUUUGCUGUCAUCAGAGCAAACUAAGUUAGUGAUCUUUGGUCCACACGCUGAUUCCAUGUAAUUCGAAUAACAACUUCUGGCCCAAAGACAUCAUCAGAGGCAUCGGGAUCAAAGUUGCUCGCUCUCCCGGUGCGCUUUUGCUUGCUAUGUCUGUUAGAUGGCUUUGCAUUUGGAGCUAAACUCCAGUUAUCAUUUAGCUCAUUUCUAAAGCAAACCUCACGCAACUCAUUUAGAACCAAUGUUAAACUUUGGUUAAAAUUUGUAUUUGGACCAUUAUAAGUUAUCUAUAUGAUGCAUGUUGCAGUAAGAGGAUGCAGCACCUUAGGAUGGGAAGAGCCAUUGAGACGCAUGUGCCUGCUGAUGCUGAUGGUCGUCAGUCGUCACCCCGGGGCAAGUUGGAUUUCAACUGUGAGCUGCUACUGUGCAGCAAUGAGGGGAGGCAGCAGUUGUAGCAGUUGGUACCCAUAGAUGCUUAACAAAAUGGCAAUCAUUCAUAUCAAUAUUUGUCUAUUUUGAUUGAUAGGUUUGCAUUAAUGACUAAAAGAAAUAGUAUUUGUACUUUCCGUGAAUAUUUACGUUUUUAUCCGAACUAAGUAUUAUAAUUGUACAACUGAAGGAUAAUGAUACUGGCCUCAAUACUUUAACACAUGGCCGGUUGAAGCUGCAGUACCCCUCAGGCAACACGUGAAAUACUUUUAAACAUGCUGCAUUGAUCAUGGAUUUUGAACUUAAGGUCAAACUUGACAUUGUUG
rnacentral:lncRNA from 1 species